UACGUAGGGUGCGAGCGUUAAUCGGAAUUACUGGGCGUAAAGCGUGCGCAGGCGGUGAUGUAAGACAGAUGUGAAAUCCCUGGGCUCAACUUGGGAACUGCAUUUGUGACUGCAUCGCUGGAGUGCGGCAGAGGGGGAUGGAAUUCCGCGUGUAGCAGUGAAAUGCGUAGAUAUGCGGAGGAACACCGAUGGCGAAGGCAAUCCCCUGGGCCUGCACUGACGCUCAUGCACGAAAGCGUGGGGAGCAAACAGG
rnacentral:rRNA from 1 species